UACGUAGGGGGCUAGCGUUGUCCGGAAUCAUUGGGCGUAAAGCGCGUGUAGGCGGCCCGGUAAGUCCGCUGUGAAAGUCGGGGGCUCAACCCUCGGAUGCCGGUGGAUACUGUCGGGCUAGAGUGCGGAAGAGGCGAGUGGAAUUCCUGGUGUAGCGGUGAAAUGCGCAGAUAUCAGGAGGAACACCAAUUGCGAAGGCAGCUCGCUGGGACGUGACUGACGCUGAGGCGCGAAAGCGUGGGAGCAAACAGG
rnacentral:rRNA from 1 species